rnacentral:lncRNA from 1 species
GGUUUGAACAUCGGCAGCAGCUGCCUCUUGUUUAUUUUUGUUAAAACCAUAUUGUGUAACAUUGUUUUUAAAAAACGUUUUUAUUUAUGGUAGUUACACCCUAAAACAGCAUCCAGUUUGUCAUAAGGUUUAGCCUAUUUUAAAAAUAUCUAACCAAAAGUUUAUCCGCUUGCCAUUACCUUCUUUGAAAAUCUCAGUCAUGUUUUGGUUCCGUUCAAGACAUUUUUAUCAUAACCUAUCAAACGUCAUUUUUGUAAAAAAAAUUAUAUAUAUCGUUAUAUCGUUUCGUUUCGUUUCGUAAUUGUCAUUGUGUUUCGGUUUUGUUUCUCAUUCAAGCACAACCCACCUAAUGGUCCACGUAAUCGUCAUUUAAAAC